AUUUAAACCAGGAGAUGAAUACCCUGCUGAAGUCGUACAUGAAUAUUUAUUAUUAUAACCUCCCAUCCAGCUACAGGCGUGACAGUACUUAUUUUAUCAGUUGGUUAAGCCAAUGCUCUAGCCUCACUAUCUUCAGAUCUUCAGCAGGACUUGAUUUACAUUUGUCAAGUGCUUACAAUGUACCAUGCCCUUUCCACGUAUUAUUACACCUAUAACAACUCUAUGAGAAUAAUUUGCACUGCAGAACUUCUUCCAUAUGUCAAAGUUGGCCUCAUCAUUUUGCUUGGAGGAGGAAGGCUAGGAAUUCCAGUACAACGUUGGAGAGAAGUGGUAUUGGGGGCAUCAAUGUCUCCUUAUUGAUCUCAUCAGUUAUUAAGCUAAGCCUUCUAUAGUUUGCUCUGCGAUGCUAUGGCUGAGACUCUGUGAACCACAUUUCUGCUUUACCAG
rnacentral:lncRNA from 1 species